GUACAUUGAGUAUAGAAGAUCAGGUGAGACAGCAGGAGGGUAUGUAACAGGGAAGGAAAAUUGGUCAGAGCCCAUCACCCACUGAGUAUCAGCACACAGUGCUGGGGUCUCAUGGCUGUGGCAUAAUGAAGAAAGUGGUACUUAAAAUUUUUUAUUCUGAGAAGGGGCUAUAGGCUUAAUCAGAUUGCCAAAGGAGUUCAUAAUUCAAGAAUCGCUGAUUUAGAACAACUGCCUCAUUUUAUAGAUGGGGGAAAUGAAGCACAAAAAGCUGGAAAAGACAAAUUUUGAAUACCUAUUAAGUAAGAAAAGAUACUAAAGACAAUCUCAGGUGUGUAUUGACUCUAUUGAUUCAACAUUUGGAUGACUGGAAAUUCACUUGGAGAAGUCAGCUGAAGAUCUAGGGACCUUCUGUCCAUGAAGCAGAGAAGAAGGGUUAUUGAGAAGCAGAGUACUGGAUCUUUAAUAUUUAGAGCUGAAUGGUCUUCCUGUGGGUACCAUCUGGAAUAUUUAUUGGCUUCCAGGGCCUUUGGGGUCUGAUUAUCCCAUAACUGCUCAUUAGAGAAAAGCAUGAAGAAAUAAUUUCAUCUCUCUCCCCAGGCUCUUUGGGCUCAGCCUACCCUGAAGUUGUUGCAGAUUGUGCAACCUCUAUCUCCUAGCAGUUUUCAUAUGGGAGUAAAGAAAUCAGGAAUCCCAUACUUGAGUCUAGGAGAUCAAAUCCAAUCAAGUCAAUUGAAGAUUGACUUCACUCUCUCUGGUCCCACUUACAUCCAAAAAAUAAUCCCCACUACUACACCACACACACACUUACAUAAUAAGUCAUCAUCUUGUCUCUAUGUUGAUGACCUUUAAUAACAGGGAGCCCAUUACCUCCAGUAGUAGCCCAUUUCAUUUUGUCCUGUUGUCCCUCGAGCAUCCUAAUUGCCCUCCUCUUGUAUCCAGUUUGUCAGUUUCCUUGCUAUAAUAUAUGAUGCUCAGAACUGAUUAUAGUACUGAAGAUGUAUGUGAUCAUGGCAGAGGACGGAGAGACAACCACCAUCCUCAUUCUAAACACUAUGCCUCUAUUAAUGCACCUGGAGUUUUCAUUUGCUUUUUGUGUUGUUGUUGUUUGGCUGCCAUGCCAUGUCAUGCUAUACUUCCAACUCAUAACAAUGGUAAUAUCUUUUAAAAAAUAAAAUGCUAUCUAGCCAGAUCUC